rnacentral:rRNA from 1 species
AUUGAACGCUGGCGGCAUGCCUUACACAUGCAAGUCGAACGGCAGCACGGGGGCAACCCUGGUGGCGAGUGGCGAACGGGUGAGUAAUACAUCGGAACGUACCCGGAAGUGGGGGAUAACGUAGCGAAAGUUACGCUAAUACCGCAUAUUCUGUGAGCAGGAAAGAGGGGGAUCGCAAGACCUCUCGCUUUCGGAGCGGCCGAUGUCGGAUUAGCUAGUUGGUGGGGUAAAAGCCUACCAAGGCGACGAUCCGUAGCCGAUCUAAAAGGAUGACCGGCCACAAGGGCACUGGGACACGGGCCCUACUCCUACGGGAGGCAGCAGUGGGGAAUUUUGGACAAUGGACGAAAGUCUGAUCCAGCGACGCCGCGUGAAGGACGAAGGUUUUCGGAUCGUAAACUUCUUUUGCAGGGGACGAAUGAGCGCAAGCUUUUGACGGUACUCUGCGAAUAAGCCACGGCUAACUACGUGCCAGCCGCCGCCGUAAAAC